CAGUCGCCGCGGUAAUACAGAGGGUGCUAGCGUUGUUCGGAAUGACUGGGCGUAAAGGGCGCGUAGGCGGUUGGCAUAGUCAGAUAUGAUAGCCCCGGGCUUAACCUGGGAGGUGCAUUUGAUACUGGCCGACUGGAGUGUGAGAGAGGAAAGCGGAAUUCCUAGUGUAGAGGUGAAAUUCGUAGAUAUUAGGAGGAACACCAGAGGCGAAGGCGGCUUUCUGGCUCACAACUGACGCUGAGGCGCGAAAGCGUGGGGAGCAAACAGGAUUAGAGACCCCGGUAGUCCCUGUCUCUUAUAC
rnacentral:rRNA from 1 species